AUUAGCUUUUUAUCAAUUUUUCAAUUUCCAACCCCCAAAUAACUGAUUCCGCUUCUCGAAUAAGAUAUUAUUUCAUCACACAAUUCAUGAUUAAGAGGACUCACAACGAAUCAAAACAAGCAAAUAUUCACAAACCAACACUCAGACAUCAUCAAUAAUUCACAUACCGAAUCACGUUCCAUAAUCAUAUAAGAAUUAAAAGAGACAGAGGAAAGAAUUGAACCUCAAUGCCGCUUUCAAGUAUUAUUCGAUUAAACGAGAUGAAAUCCGCACCGGAACCUCAAAUCGAACCUCAAACAUGAAUUCCAAAUCCAACCUCGAUAUUGAAAAAUAAGGAACGGAAUGAUUCGAUUCCUUCCGAGUACUUUCGAUUGAUUUAUAAAUGGAAUAAAGAGUCGUCCCGAAAAUCCUCAACGACCAACAAAUCUCCACUAUCAAUCGACUCCGAAAACGGAAUAUUCCCAAAAAAUCCAGUCCAAACAGAAAUCCACGGGCACGAAUCGAGCAACCCGAGAACCAAAAAUAUCAAACAAAAACUUGGGAAAUCUGUGAAACCGGAGCUAAUGGAACUCCGGCGAGCUCAGAAAGAACAGAAAAAGAAGAAUCAGAUCAAAUUCCGAGCGAUUUCCGGCGACACAUCGCCGGAACAGUCCACCACCGCCAACUCUCUCUCUUUCUUCGAUCUUUCUCACCUUUUCGAUUCGUAUUUUCUCCGGAAACCUCACUCCCCGAUUUUAAUUUCUCUCUGUUCCCCGUCUCUCCCCUUAUCUCUCUCGGUUCUCUCUCGCGUCUCUCACUCUCGAUCUUCCCUCUCUUUCACUUCUCGCCGAUUGUGUAUUGGUGAGUGUGUAUUCUCAAUUAGGUGUGUGGAAAUUCUGAGUAAGCAGUGAGGAUCUGUGNNNNN
rnacentral:lncRNA from 1 species